CCCCAGUCAAGCUCUUGGAUCCUUAUCAGCUAGCAGGUAGAAACUCAGCCGAUGCUGCCUCCACCCUACUGGAGAGUGUGUCUGCUACAGGACUUGGCUGAUCUAGGUUAUGCUUAUCACGCAGAUGUCGAAGACACAGAAGCCCUGCCAGAAUUAUGGCAACCCUGCAUGCACCAGGUCCCGCAGCUCUUAAAGAAGCAGAGGCCCGGCAAGAAGUGCGUGCGGGACCGCUAUCAAUCUUAGUGAAAUGAGCAUUCACCUCCUCAGUGUGUGGGCUUCUUCGCUUCUGCGGAGAGGCUGUCGCGCACUCGGAGGAAGAGAACAACAGCGCCAUCCAAUAGCUGCGUCGGAGCAGGAGCGAGGCAAAAAGGCGCUUUCCACAACAGCAGAGCACCUCGACGAGACGCGGAGCGGCCCCGAACCCGCGCUUUCCCCGCUGCUAGCCUGCCUGAGCGUUUCUUUGGGCAGCCACCGCAGACCUAGGUGCCGCUGGCCGUGGUCUUCCUCUCACAGCCCUUCCGUGCACCCGACAGUUCUGCGCGGCACAGGUCGAGUACAUCGCUUCUGUCCAUUCCCGCGCUCUCUUGUAGCGGGUACUACUUGCAACGAGCGCCCCUGCUCCGUAGUCUUAUGCGCAGCGCUGCCUUCAGCACCCACCCAGCCCGUCCCCGCACACACAGCAGGAAAUCCCUUCCCAAGCCAGAGAGCCAUUUACCAACCAAGCAGUAACUUAGCACGGGGCGGUGCACGGACACGGAGUCCCUCGGCAAGCCUGCUGCGUGCCUUACGAAGCGGUGAGGGAGGCUGUUCUUCUGAUUCCCAAGAGUUCUUCUCUGAAGCCGCCGAGACAUAGUCUCCUCACGCUUGGGCGAGCGAAUGCAACCUGCCAGCUUCCCCCAUACGUGCACACCGCGGCAAGCUACCACUUGGUCAGUGUGUGUGCUUCUUGUAGCCACUCGGAGACUCCCGUCUGUCAGCUCCCACCCCACCACCGGCAGAAAGACCCCCCGUUUUGGAAGCCCUCCUGCGUCCACACAGCUGCCCCAUUCCCAUCAUAACCCAUAUCUCCCAUACAUACCCAUUGUGUUGCCGAUGAUGGUGCCGCUUGUCUUGCUUGAACAAGGGUUAGGUGGAGAGGGAAGGAGGUCAGGGCGAAGGCUUUUCUUUAAAGCCUCCACUCUUGGCCUUAGCCCAAGUCCUACCCCACUACCUGGGCAAGGAAACUGGGAGGAGACAAGAGGGAGAAGGGGCUGGAUUUUGCCCUCUUCCCGAGGGCAACACACGCCCACACCAAAGGCAGCACUUUUCUCAAUUCGAGGGCAGGAGGUGGAGAAUGGGAGGUGGCAGUCCUCUUUGACCUCAGCGACCUAUUACGGCCAUUAAGAAAAUGACAGAAAGGGAAAUCAGCAGCACAGGAAAGGGUGGAGGGCUACAAAAAAGGGAACACCACACCAUCGCUGGGGAAGAGAUUAGAAAUUUCAGAUGCAGAAACAUGACACAUAGUGUGCUCCGCUUUCCCCCCUGGCAGUUGUCCUGCUUCUUUUACCAACAUUAUGAUGGACAGAAAUUCAAGAAGUGAAGUUUCUCCCUCACUGAGUCUGAAAUUGAGGCACCCUGUCAUCCAGGGACCCUACCUAGCAAGGGAAUACAGGUGAUCGGGGCUAUAAGUGCAAAGCAGGGGAUAAGGUGGGCAAGAGACGGGGGUGGGUAGAGACAGUAAAGAAAUGUGCUUGUACAUGUAGACAGAAAGUAAUUUUUUUUUAAGGCAUGUACAAAUAAUUCCUUUUCAGAAAUAAACAAGCGUAUCGAA